rnacentral:rRNA from 1 species
UACGAAGGGGCUAGCGUUGCUCGGAAUCACUGGGCGUAAAGGGUGCGUAGGCGGGUCUUUAAGUCAGGGGUGAAAUCCUGGAGCUCAACUCCAGAACUGCCUUUGAUACUGAGGAUCUUGAGUUCGGGAGAGGUGAGUGGAACUGCGAGUGUAGAGGUGAAAUUCGUAGAUAUUCGCAAGAACACCAGUGGCGAAGGCGGCUCACUGGCCCGAUACUGACGCUGAUGCACGAAAGCGUGGGAGCAAACAGG